rnacentral:lncRNA from 1 species
AGAGAGAGAGGUUACCUCUUUUGACUUUUCUCUGAAUAUGAUACAUUGUUAGAUGGAGAUCUAAUCAUUGACGCUUCGAGCUUGAUUAUUUUGAGGUUUGCAGAGUCCACAAGUGAUGGAAAGAGAGACAGGGUUUGCUAGGGUUAGGGUUUUUUCUCUUCUCUUAGUCCUCUGUUCGUUCCCUGUUAGUGGGGGGUGUUCAAUGGGAUUAAUUUUGGGGUUUUUAAGUUUUGGGUGUUUUAAUCAAAGUUAGGACUUUCCAUGAGUUCAUGGGUUUAAUACAUUUGCCGAUAGAGAGAGAGAAAGUUAGAGUUUAGUUUCUGGGUUUAGUUUUUUGGCUUUUUUAAUUAAGCUAGAGAGAAGUAAUUAGGGGUAAGUUUUUGGAUUUUAAUUAGGGGGGAUAUAAAUUAUACAAAUGAAAUCUUAUAAUUAUAAAAGUAUAAUUACAAUAUAAUUUAUAUUACAAGGAUUUUUUAAUCACAAUAAAAUAAAUUUAUAUUCUAUAAUCAAUUUAUUUUAAAAUGUGUAGAAUAUUUUGUGUAUAUAAAAAAUGCGUGAAUACCCAAGUCGGUUGGGUUGAGUAGACCUUGACCUGGACUUGAUCCUAGAAAUAUUUGGGUCUGUUCUUUUGACCCUUGACUUGACUAAGUCUAGAAGAUGGACUUGGACCUGGACCCUAGUCCGGUGGAUUGACACAACUUGAUUACGAUCCGAACCGUUCCUUUGAUAGGUUUAUAGGUGUCAUUACUCAUAAGAAAUGUCAAGUGAUGACACAUCGUCCUACUUGAAGCAAUUCCGUUAUUGCAAAAACACCAAAAAUUGCUACUGGCUAUGAGGACUGUGACGUACGGAUUGUUAAUUUUCUGACUCCAAAUUUAUUCUGUCUUGUAUUUUGGAUGUAACUAUUUGCUGAAAUCAAGUGACUUAUUAAAAUACAAAAGAAAAACAUAUCUCCAACAUCCCUAGUGUGGCAGUUUAGUACUGGGGUUCACUAGAUGAUCAAAGAAAAAUAAGCAAAGGCAAUUAUGUAGUCAUUGUUACAUGACUGACCAGGCCAUACCCAUGUGGUGAUUGCGUAGGUGACAUGGACAAUUGGGCAUCUUUAAUGACAUAAUCAGCG